GGCCGCUUGGCCUAAUGGCUAGGGCGUCAGAUUUCGGCUCACAUUAAGUGAUAAAAUCUCUGAAGAUUGUCGGUUCGAAUCCGACAGUGGUCG